UCAUAAAUAAUUUAUUAAUUUGUUUUAAAGUGGUCCCAUUUUUCAGCGAUGCAGAUUAACAAACGCGUAUUGAAAUUUUCAGCAAAAUGACCGCAAGUCUUCUACAUAUAAUCUAUCCCAUUCCCACAGAAGCCGUUACUUUAGAGUGUCCAAAUUUUUACGGCGUUUAGUGCAAGCCCUAUACUCCAAAAUGGGAAGCACACUGUAAUCAUCGGAUUGAGAUUCGGCGAGAAAUGUGCUAACUCUUCAGAAGGUAUCACGUCCGGAAAAUGAGUCUUGCACCACUCUUCUGCCACAUUAGCCUUGUUGUUGAAACUCCUACUUUCCCUUGCCGAUGUGCGUUUUGGAACACAGAAACACAACAGCUUCUGGUAUGUCCCACUAGUGCAUUUUUUUAUUUAUUUCACCGUUCUCAUAAAAAAAAACACCCACACCACCAUUGACUUCCAUUUUUGCGAUGAUCAGCAAUUGCUGGAGUGCUUUGGAGAUACUACAGAUUAGAUCCUAUAGUUCUUGUAGUUCCGAAGUUUCAACGAUACAGAGAUAUUCUUUAGUGAAAAGGAAUAUAUUCCUUGGACUUGGAAUAUCUUCCUUGGACGGACUUGCGGCCCGCUUCAAAAGUUUUUGGCGUCUUUGGAGCCGCACGAGUUUGUUUUCUUCAAUGAGAAGCUGAGCUUUUUGGAACUAGUAGGGCUUCAGUCCUAGCCCUGUUUUGGCUAUUCGUUGUACUGUUCAGUCAUUUAAUACCAGUUCACGAGAGAUCUUUGCCAUGGAAACCCUCGAAUUUCAUUGAAAUCGCUUUUUGAUUGACUUAGGGGUAUUGAAAGCGUUCACCAUACGUUUUCGUUUACUUCCUGGCCUUUGACUACCAUUGCCAAUCUCUUUAAAAUGAUAAGUUGCAUCAAACACUGCUUGCCGAGGCACAGUAAGAACGGACGACUUCAUACUGUCUUUUUCCUUACUUAGACAAAUAUAAAAUAUCAUAUAUUUUGCUUGGCAUUGUCUAAAAGCUAAAAAAUAAUACGUAAACUAAAAGAUACAUUAUAAAAUAUGUUAUAAUUGAAGUGAUAGAUAAAAAAACGAAAAUUAAAAAGAAAUAAAUUGACUUCUAUAUUAUACAAUUUUGUCCGAGUUUUUUUGCCGCACCCUGUAGAAUGAAUAAAGGCAAUUCAUUUCAAAUAAUCUAUAUACAAGCUUAUCUAAAAAGAUAAGCUUGUUUUUUCCCAACAAGCUUAUCUUUUUACUUUAAAAAGUUUCAACUUCCUAUAAAGGAUGAAAUUAGGUUAUCAGUUUAUGAUCCAUAAAAUUUUAAGCAGCAGAAGUUUAUUUUUACAUCUGUUUUCAAAUGAUUAAUUUCAAAACUAUUUAUCAAAAUGUGGUCAUUAAAUUUUAAAAGUUUUCAUCUGGAUUGGGAAACAAUAAUUUUAAACUAAAAAAUAAUCACAUAGGAAAAAAGUGAAACUAUUUGAAAUAAAAUAUUCAAUCAUUUCCCAGGUGGUAGACAUCACAACCAUGGAGAUGGAAGUAUCUUCGACAAAGCUGCCAACCUUGCCAAUGGGAUCGUGUAAUAAAAACGUUUUGAACAUUUCUGCAUUUUAGUAGUUAUGUAAAACAAGCAUAUUUGUGAAAUAAAAUUGGUUACUGCUUUCA